rnacentral:rRNA from 1 species
GACGAACGCUGGCGGCGUGCUUAACACAUGCAAGUCGAACGGAAAGGCCCAGCUUGCUGGGUACUCGAGUGGCGAACGGGUGAGUAACACGUGGGUGAUCUGCCCUGGACUCUGGGAUAAGCCUGGGAAACUGGGUCUAAUACCGGAUAUGACCUUACAUCGCAUGGUGUUUGGUGGAAAGCUUUUGCGGUUCAGGAUGGGCCCGCGGCCUAUCAGCUUGUUGGUGGGGUAAUGGCCUACCAAGGCGACGACGGGUAGCCGACCUGAGAGGGUGAUCGGCCACACUGGGACUGAGACACGGCCCAGACUCCUACGGGAGGCAGCAGUGGGGAAUAUUGCACAAUGGGCGCAAGCCUGAUGCAGCGACGCCGCGUGAGGGAUGACGGCCUUCGGGUUGUAAACCUCCUUCACCAGGGACGAAGCGUGAGUGACGGUACCUGGAGAAGAAGCACCGGCCAACUACGUG